GGAGGGUUCCCUUUUCUCCACACCCUCUCUAGCACUUGUUAUUUGCAGACUUAUUAAUGAUAGACAUUCUGACCAGUGUGAGGUGGUACCUCGUAGUAGUUUUGAUGUGCAUCACAGAUUCACUUUUUUGAAUCUCCAGCUUUCAGACAGCAGUUAUUGGGCUUCUCAGCCUCCAUAAUUGCAUGAGCCAAUUCUUCAUAAGAAAUCUCUUCCCCGAUAUUUAUAUAUUCCUAUUGUUCUUUUCUCUGGAGGACCUUAAUACAUGAUCUUUCUAACCAAAGUGUGGUUUGCAGUGAGUGGCAUUAGCAUCAUCUAGGAGCUCAUUAGGAAUACCUAUUCUCAGGCCCCGCCUUGCAAUUUAACAAGAUCCUUGAGUGAUUCCAUCCAUGUUAGAGCACUUGGUUCCCUUAUUCCCCACGAAAAUUUCAUGGUUGUUUCAUUGCUCCAUCAACUAUGGGACAGCCACAGCAUCAUACCACAGACUGAGGAUUAGCCAGUUAAAGACAGUUUCAGCAAAGGUAGUAAACAAAAAUCCAGUUCUGUUUCAAAUAGUGCAGUUCUUAGGAAAUAAAAGAGUUUUUAAGGCUGCUCUAAUAAUCCCUGAAAGAGAGGGACGAAGGGCUAGAUCUCUAUACCACAGGGUUGUUAGGGGAGCUGGAGGGGAAGAGAGACCUAGUGACCAGGAACAGGAUUCCUUACUCUGCUCUUAAAAAGAGGCCACCAAGAAGAGAGUGGAGGGAAACAGAGGAGUACCUGCAAGUCAAGCAUCUACUGGAGAAAGUUGGUCCGAUAGAGAUAAAUAAGAAAGAACAAAAAGCCUUUGAGCCAAGAGCUCUCACACUAACCUGGUUUCCUGUGGCAUUAACUUUUCACCAUGGAGUGAGAGAAUAACAAGAAUUUAAGAGGUGUUUUUCUUAGUUGGAUUGGGUGGAGUGAGGAUCAAGACGUUUGUUGGAAAAGUGCCUACAGAACCACAGCUGGGCUUUGGCUACUCAACACCUAUUGUCUACCUUCUCUUCCCUCCUCAGUUUUCUGGAUGACUGAAAAAAAUAGACAUUACAUUGUCUCAAAUGUCCAGAUUUCCAGCCAGAGCCAUAAGAGACAAUUCAAGGGGACCAGGUAAACACUGAACGGAUAUGAUGGUAAUCCACCAAAGCUAUUGGGCUGUAUCAGCAGCAGACAAAAAAGUACCCAGUAAAAGGUGAAUACAAAGCAGGAAAAAUGGGAUUUCCUUACAAAUCAUAAAAAAAAAAAAGAAAAAGAAAAAGGAAUGUGACCUGUGAAAGAAAGUGGCACAUAACACACGUUAGAAUAAUAAUUACUUCAGGAAAUGAAAAACAAUAGACUAAGUUUCCUCAGUCCCUUCAAAGGAAUUUAAGUCCUGGUGAAUGGAAAGGAGAGCUGGUAUGCUUAAGAAACUGAAGGGGAGAAUAUGAUCAGCUUUGAAAUGAAAAUGACUUUAGAAGCAGAGGAGCAGAAUCAGCAUUGAAAGAAGAUCAGUGAUGUGGAGGAUAGGCAUGAGAAGAACCACACAGAAGGCAGUGGAAAAAUAGAAGGCAAUGAAAGAAAUUUACCAGGAGCUCACAGAAUUGGAGACCUAACACAAGGAUGAUUUGAGCAUUGAAAGAUGAAAAACUAGAAUGGGCUGGAGCUAAAUAAUGCAUCAGGCAUUUUCUCAACAUGCUGUUUUCCAAAACAAAGCAAUGGCAGAGGAAUGCAUGCAGGUUAAACUCUGCAGUAACAUGAACUCGGCCUAGACUCUUUCUAAUGACCUCCCCUGCUGCCUCAAAGUACAAGCCUGGGUUAGCAUCCUGGAAGCAUGACAAGGAGUUGCCAGCUGUGCCCGCUGAGGCCAACCUAGACCAGUCUACAGGAAGUCAUCCCACAGGACAGAGGCACAGAAAGUUUUCCGCUCCUUUGUUAUCCCUGUGACAUCUACUGACCUUCACCUGGCCAUUCUCUGGAGCAAAAACGUGCAGAAGAGAAUAGCAGUGAGCAGACAGACAAGGAGACAAGGGGGAAAGGUGAGAGAUUGAGCCAGAGCAUCUCUGCCUGGGGAGGCUCCGUGGGUCACAGGACCCUGGACUCAGAUGGGCAUGAAGGGUCUCGGCUACAGGUACAGAGGUACAGCAUAUGGAAG